AACAAGUGAAAGUGAUUCGUGAUAUGGCCAUCUUUGUGACAAUGAAUCCAGGUUAUGCAGGACGAUCUAAUCUACCUGAUAACUUGAAGAAAUUAUUCCGUAGUCUGGCAAUGACUAGUCCUGACAGACAGCUUAUUGCACAAGUUAUGCUUUAUUCACAAGGAUUUAGGAUGGCUGAAAAAUUGGUCCAGCAAGAUUGUACCGUUCUUCAAGCUUUGUUUAGAGCAACUUUCAAGUCAAUCUCAUUACGAUUUUGGUCUUCGUGGGUUGAAGAGUGUAUUGAUCAGUGCCGGUAAUGUGAAACGAGACAAAAUAUCAAAAGUUAAAGAAGAACUUAAGGCCAAAGGUGAAGAUGUUGAUGAAGCUUCAAUAUCCGAUGGAUAAGAUGAACAGCAAAUCCUUAUUCAAAGUGUUUUUGAAACUGUGGUUCCCAAAUUGGUUGCUGAAGACAUUCCUUUGUUGCAUAGUUUGUUGUCUGAUGUCUUCCCUGGAGUUAAGUAUAUGGGCGUUGAAAUGAUUAAUUUGAAAGAAGAAAUUAAGAAAGUUUGUGCUGAAAUGUUUCUCACUUUUGGUGACGGUGAGGAUGAAGGAACCGCAUGGGUGGAUAAGAUACUUCAGUUAUAUCAGAUAAGUUUGAUUCACCAUGGCUUAAUGAUGGUUGGGCCAAGUGGCAGUGGGAAGAGCACAGCAUGGCGAGUUCUUCUUAAAGCUUUAGAAAGAUUGGAAGGUGUUGAAGGUGUUGCCCAUGUCAUUAAU